AGAAGAUGGCGACGUUGUCUGGUCCUCCAACACCACAAACAAAGGCGUCCGGUGGCUUGCCAUAUCCGACAGCGCGACCAUAAUGCUCCUGGAUGAAAGUGAAAGCAAUGUCAUCUGGCAAAGUAGCGACGAACCUUCUGACACUGUGCUGUUGCAACGAGCGCUUAAGCCGGGAUAUAAGCUCGUAAGUUGGAAUACUUCAGAAGACAGCAGCGACGGCCUGUAUAGCCUUGUCAUGGAGAAGAACAGGCUCAAACUGUUGUACGACUCGCAACCAUACUGGAGCUUCGGUAAUAUUACCAGAGAGGAAGAUAUGUUUGCGGUCUUCUGCUGGCAGCCAAAUGGAGUCGUGUCCCUGGAUCUCCGAACUAAUUUCUCACAGAUAGCCGUUGCGGGCUUGGUACAGCCGGAGUCUUGUGCCAUACCUGGUUCUGAAGACCAAGCGAUGCAGCUGCCAAUAAACGGGUCACAGUUCACGUCCUCCACUUUCAUAAGGCUCACACCAGAUGGAGAUGUGGACCUGUACUCCUGGAAUUGGACGGGUAGCAACUGGGUGACUUAUCUCAGCUUUUCCAAUCACUUCAAGUGCUUCCUUCCAAGUGCAUGCGGGAAAUAUAGAACCUGUAAUCCAACAUUAGGUACAUGCGAAGAUACUUGUCCCGAGAGCUUUACCAAGAAAGAUGAAGAUUGCCAGCCAUCGUUUCCACUUCAGAUGUGUGAGGAGAUGGAGUAUCGAUUCGUUCGGAAGGAGGGAACUGAUUACUUCUCCACAAAUUAUACUGAUCCACUCA
rnacentral:lncRNA from 1 species